rnacentral:rRNA from 1 species
GAUGAACGCUGGCGGCGUGCUUAACACAUGCCAGUCGAACGGUGAAGGCGGAGCUUGCUCUGCUGGAUCAGUGGCGAACGGGUGAGUAACACGUGAGCAAUCUGCCCCUGACUCUGGGAUAAGCGCUGGAAACGGCGUCUAAUACUGGAUACGAGCUGCGAACGCAUCUUCAGCGGCUGGAAAGAACUUCGGUCAGGGAUGAGCUCGCGGCCUAUCAGCUUGUUGGUGAGGUAACGGCUCACCAAGGCGUCGACGGGUAGCCGGCCUGAGAGGGUGACCGGCCACACUGGGACUGAGACACGGCCCAGACUCCUACGGGAGGCAGCAGUGGGGAAUAUUGCACAAUGGGCGAAAGCCUGAUGCAGCAACGCCGCGUGAGGGACGACGGCCUUCGGGUUGUAAACCUCUUUUAGCAGGGAAGAAGCGAAAGUGACGGUACCUGCAGAAAAAGCGCCGGCUAACUACGUG